rnacentral:rRNA from 1 species
CCUAAGGUAGCGAAAUUCCUUGUCGGGUAAGUUCCGACCCGCACGAAAGGCGUAACGAUUUGGGCACUGUCUCAACAACAGACUCGGUGAAAUUGUAAUUCCGGUGAAGAUGCCGGAUACCUGCGACAGGACGGAAAGACCCCAUGGAGCUUUACUGUAGCUUGACAUUGGGUCUUGGUACUACAUGUACAGGAUAGGUGGGAGGCUUUGAAACCAGGACGCCAGUUUUGGCGGAGCCAUCCUUGGGAUACCACCCUUGUAGUACUGGGACUCUAACCAUAGGCCAUGAAUCUGGUCUUGGGACACUGUCAGGUGGGCAGUUUGACUGGGGCGGUCGCCUCCCAAAAGGUAACGGAGGCGCUCAAAGGUUCUCUCAGUACGGUCGGAAAUCGUACGUAGAG